rnacentral:rRNA from 1 species
CACGAACCGUACGAACGUUAUUCGGAAUUACUGGGCUUAAAGGGUUUGUAGGCGGCCAUGUAAGUCAGGUGUGAAAUCCCUCGGCUCAACCGAGGAACGGCGCUUGAUACUGCAUGGCUUGAGGGAGACAGGGGUAAGCGGAACUGAUGGUGGAGCGGUGAAAUGCGUUGAUAUCAUCAGGAACACCGGUGGCGAAAGCGGCUUACUGGGUCUCCUCUGACGCUGAGGAACGAAAGCUAGGGUAGCGAACGGG